UACGUAGGGGGGCUAGCGUUGUCCGGAAUCAUUGGGCGUAAAGCGCACGUAGGCGGUCCUGUAAGUCGGGUGUGAAAGCCCCAGGCUUAACUUGGGAAGUGCACUCGAAACUGUAGGGCUUGAGUAUGGAAGAGGGUCUCGGAAUUCCCGGUGUAGAGGUGAAAAUUCGUAGAUAUCGGGGAGGAACACCAGUGGCGAAGGCGGAGACCUGGGCCAAUACUGACGCUGAGGUGCGAAAAGCGUGGGGGAGCAAAACAGGG
rnacentral:rRNA from 1 species